UACGUAGGCAGCGAGCGUUGUUCGGAGUUACUGGGCGUAAAGGGUGUGUAGGCGGUUUCUAAGUUUGGUGUGAAAUCUCCCGGCUCAACCGGGAGGUGCGCCGAAAACUGGGAGACUAGAGUGCGGGAUGGGAGAGUAGAAUUCCUGGUGUAGCGGUGAAAUGCGUAGAUAUCAGGAGGAAUACCGGUGGUGUAGACGGCUCUCUGGACCGCCACUGACGCUGAGACGACGAAAGCGUGGGUAGCAAACAGG
rnacentral:rRNA from 1 species